rnacentral:rRNA from 1 species
UACAGAGGGUGCAAGCGUUGUUCGGAAUUACUGGGCGUAAAGCGCGUGUAGGCUGCUUCGCAAGUCGGGUGUGAAAGCCCUGGGCUCAACCUAGGAAGUGCACUCGAAACUGCGAAGCUGGAGUCCUGGAGAGGAAGGCGGAAUUCUCGGUGUAGAGGUGAAAUUCGUAGAUAUCGAGAGGAACACCGGUGGCGAAGGCGGCCUUCUGGACAGUGACUGACGCUGAGACGCGAAAGCGUGGGGAGCAAACAGG